GUGCUCGCUUCGGCAGCACAUAUACUAAAAUUGGAACGAUACAGAGAAGAUUAGCAUGGCCCCUGUGCAAUUCCCCAAUAAAAAGACAUAGACUAAUAGACU